rnacentral:rRNA from 1 species
UACAGAGGGUGCGAGCGUUGUCCGGAAUCACUGGGCGUAAAGGGCGCGUAGGCGGCCCGGUAAGGUUGCGGUGAAAGCCCGGGGCUCAACCCCGGGUUGGCCGUGGCAACUGCUGGGCUGGAGCACAGUAGAGGCGGGUGGAAUUCCGGGUGUAGCGGUGGAAUGCGUAGAGAUCCGGAAGAACACCGGUGGCGAAGGCGGCCCGCUGGGCUGUUGCUGACGCUGAGGCGCGACAGCGUGGGGAGCAAACAGG